GGGAGAAGUGUCACCUAAAAUAAAGUCUAAAAAAGUUGUGACUUAAGAACUGCUGUCAACAUUAUUAUUUUAAAUAAUAUUUGUUCUCCUUUUGUGGAAUCGCUCUCUAAUUGUCGAAAUUCCAAACCUACUCCAUAAUUCACACCUGCAUUCAUCGCCAACCCCUUUCCUGCUCGUUCACGAAGAGGGAUUGUACUCAUGGUGCCCAGUGUCAUGUAUUGAUGAUGCUCUGGACCUUUGUCUGACCGCAAGUCAUCACAUUAAUUAAGAGCACGCCACAAAAUCCCAUUCGAAUACUUCGAUUGAGCUGGCAGAGCUGUGAAGGUCGGGCGUGGAUCCCGGAUCCGGGCAACUCCUAAUCCUUGCCGCGGCCCAUUCUCCGUCGUACUCUGAGCCUUGGCCUGGCACGUAAAAUAUGCCAACUGUAAGGAAUUUUGCGGCAACGCCUCGCAUAGCUGGCAGCGUGUAAAAUGAGCGAUAAGCGGCGGAGGGAUGCGGCAGGAGGGACCCGGAGCAAGAGAAGGAUAAAACCACACGCAGAACAAAUCUGACUUUCUUUUUUGAAAGCGGAAGUUUAAAAGUGACUAGGAUCUUUUAAACCGACGAUAUAUGUAAGACUUGGUAAAUUAGUAUAAUUAACACGAAAUAAAACAAUACAUUUAAA